GGCUAGCCCUUGGCUGUGGGCAAAGGCUGAUGUGUCACUCAUUGCAAAUAGUUCUGAAUUAUCCAGCCUCCAUCCCUGUUCUGUACUGGAUGAAACAUUUUGGCUUGUGGUGGAGAGCUCAUAGGAGGUGCCUUAAUGGCUGCUUCUGAUAUUAAAAUCAAUGAGUCCCAAAAUUGCUACCCAAACUGAGAAAACCAGCCUUGUAGCUGGCAUUUACUGCCUAAAGAUGUACUGGAGCAUGUUUAAGCACAGACUCUGCAUUAUCAGACCUUUGGAGAUUACUCCUAGCUUCUUUCCUCUGUUAAAUAUAGCUUGGCUCUGCUGCCUUUCACAGGAAUAAAACUUGCUAUUACUUCUAGGAAUCAUCCAUUAAGUAUGUUUAAAAUGUUGUUCAGCCACGUGUCUGCACUGUUGUGUAAUCCACAGAGCAUUCCCUGUGCACGAUCAUCAUUUCCUGGCUGGUUUAUGUAGGAAAUAACCUUCACUGCUUCACCACUUUGUAUGUCUUUUAACAGACCUCAGCAUGUGGCAGGUUCUCUUACCUUGAGCUAUGGAGUUUUGCCCUUGGCUUGGAAGCACGGAGUGGAGUGGACAUGGCCAUGGACGAGGUGGUCCAGGUCAGAGAGAAGGAGAUGGUCUCACCUGGUGGUUUCUCUGGCUGGAGGUGCUGUCUGAUGGAGAUGCACGGUCACUUUGCACAGGUCCCUCUGGCUGGGUGAUGCUGGUGGGAUUGGGGUGCACAUGGUGGCUGGAUUUCAGCACAGAAAGGGCAGGAUAGGGGGAGCAGCUCAGCAUUCCCACUGGAGGAAGGAUGCUCUGCUCCUCUCCUGAGGAGACCCCCUGAAGGAAGGAGGAAUUGCAUGUAUCCAGUGCUAAAUGCCGUAUGACUCAAGGAAAGAAAUAAUCACACCUCUUUAUUGCAUAGAUUUGUGUUGGGGCCUGACAACCCCCACCAGAUGCUCAUCUUCUCAGUUGCUUUAUUGUAUUCUGGGACAUCCUCAUAAUUGCCAUAAGUGGGAGAUGAUUCCCCAGCAUCUGGCAUGUGUUAAUACUGAUCCAGAGUGUUUAUCAAUGCACUUAAGGAAAGCGAGUACAUGCUUGGUGUGCAGGGAGAGGCAGCCUGGCAAAGUCUAAAGCAUCAUCAUUUGAUCCUAUUUUCUCCUUUGAAUUGCUGCUGAAUGACUUGAGUCCUUGCUGCUGGACCCUGCUGCAGUCUGAACAGUGAGGAUGCAUUGCCCAGAUGUCAUCCCCAUUUCUGGUGAUGGGUAGGAAAGUGCUGCUCUGUUUUCCUCCCCCGAUUGUAUUUCAGGGGCUGCUGAAACGCUGUUUAUCUCUCAGGUCUUUAGAAGUGAAUUUAGCAGUUAAGACACAACAGGAAUCUUCCAAUAAACUAAAACUACUUCUGUUUCAACUUUUGGGUUAGGUUCAAAGCAUCUCCUGCUCUCUUUGAGGCUGCAGAUACCCAGGAGCACAGCUGCUUGGACACCAUUCAGCUCAGCAUCUUUUAACAGAGAAGGGAGCACUGCUUGGAGGUCCAUGGAGGCAGCGAAGUCUCAGGCAGGUGGGUUUCCUCUGUCAGCUCAGAGUGAGGAAAAGGAGGAAUAAAACUGGCUGAAAGCAGAUAUUUCAAGAAUUGCUCCAAAGCUGCUGUUUUCAUUCCAGGUAGGAAUAAAAAACGGGGUUUAGGCAGCUUUUAGUUCUCCAUUUCCUUCCUCUGGGGAGCCUGAAUGAGAGUUCAUGCUGGCAACCUCCAUAAUCCAGGCAGACUUGUGGAGGUUUUAGAGGGAGACAAUAGUGCAAAAGAGUCUGUUUGAACACAGGAAUUCAGUAUUUCCCCACAUUGCUCCUGCUUGAGGAAUGCUGCUGGGUUUUGAAUCAUAUAUGAGGGCAGGAAAGAGGCAUUCUUCAGGCUUGCAGCGCUCCAGCGCUGUCUAGACUUCAUAAUGCAAUGGUGCACACUGCCCUGCCUUGAACUGCUGCCAUGGAGCCUAUAAACGGAAGCUGAGAAGCCUUUGCUCUGCCAAAGCCUCAGUCGCUCUAAUGAGACCUCGGUUCCUGUCGAGUUUGGCAGUUUGUCCCACUGAAGCACUGAGAUUGCAGCAGGUGGGUGCAACGCUCAUUUCCUAAACCACAUCCCUCUGGAAGCAAAAGGCCCCACUUGACUUCCCAUACUGGGGUGACUGCAUCUCCCUCCAGGCUAAUGGAGAUGCUUGGGCAUAGGGAUGGAUGCUCCUGCAUGGGGAGCCUGCAGACCAUCGCUGUGCAGAGGUGAAUUUGGACCAGCACAUCGCUCUAGACUGCUCAGAGCCAUCCCAUUGAACACAGCACUGCCCAUGCAAGGUCACAGCCACCAAAAGCAGUCUUUUUUUUAGCUGUGUCUGUCCUCUCUGGCUCCAUGAGUCUGUUGGCUCUGCAGAGCUGGUUUGGGUCACCGCUGGCAUUAGGAUGCGUUUCCUUCUCCACCCUGCUUUCUUCUUUUUCUGGGAUCAGGUUUCUUACAGCUAAGCAUACUCUUGUCUCUCUGUAUUUCCCACUGAAGGAUGAAGCAGGGCUUGGUCACCUCUGUUUUUCUAAAUCCAGCCCAAGUCAGGAGCAUCUGCCAGGAGGGAGAGGUUUUCCCUAAGCCUAUGGUUUGAAUAACUCUUUGCAGCUUUGCUCCUCUCCCAGGCACACGAGGAGUGGGAAGGACGUCUCUAACCACUGGAUGCUGCCUCCUGCAAAGACCAUGGUGGUGUGUGGCUGUCAGCACACAGCAGACUCUGGGCUUGCUGCCUUUGGUCCAGCACCAAAUCAAAGCCCCCUCUCUUUGGGAUGACCUUUCCCAUGGCACAUGGAGUGCAGAAAUGUCCUGCUUUUACCACCAAAGGAGGGACAUGGGCUCAUGAAUGUUUAAUUCCUGAGCUUGGCAGCGCUGGCUGAAUUAGAAACAGAACAACUGAUUUUAAUGGGUGUAAGAUUAGCGCAGAUGAGCCUGACUGAAACUGUGGUUCCAGAGAAAAGCUCCCUCCUCGGUGGGCUGUUGUGUGCAAGGAUUACUGUAGCAGAACAUAUUCUAAUCAUUGGGCAUUACCUAGGGCAGAGAUACUCAUUAAAUAGGGUCAUAAAGGAUGUUUUGGACAUCAGCUCUUUGCAGGUGCCCUGGGCCCUCAUCGGUUCUACAAGGUGGACUUGGCUACUGAGUGUGUAAGUAGGGAAGAAGGAUGGUGUGGAUGGCUGUGAGAAACCUCCCUUAACUCUGGACUAGCAUCCACUGGAUGGGAAGGAGAAGACUUUGUGCUGUUGCAUGGAGCCACCACAGCUCCAAGCAAGGUCAUGGUGUAUACCUGUGCCUACCUCUUGGUGGAGAGCUAUUUGUUUGAUAUAGUGCUAUAUAAAUAGCAGAUACUGAUAUGAGAGGGCUGGUGCCCCACAACACCCCUGCACUGGGCAGAGCUCUCUUACUGCUAUAAGCAACCUGUUAGUUAGCUCAAUGGCUUGCUUUCCUAUACAGCUGCAAUAUUUGUAUAGCGAGUGGUUUUAUUGCCUGAGCAGUAAGGGAAGAUGGGGGAGGCUGAGCUGAACUGAUUUAAUUUGAUUCCCUGCGUGACUGGCAGCUUUACAUCUGUUUAUAUUUUAUAGGUUUCAAUCGGGUCGUGCUGCCAGAGAUCACAUCUCUGCAGGUUCUGCCUGCUUGGGCUGUUGAGUGGAUGCAGCAGGAGCAUUCAUGAGUGGCGUGUCAUGAACCAUAAACAACGAGGAGUGUCCCAGGGAAGAACUGGGUGACCAUGGAGGAGCAGGUUGACUGUCCAGCUUUACAGGGACCUCCUGCCCUACCACAGGAGAUGCCUUCCUCAGCUAAAUGACAGCCCCUGGUGUUGGGUUGGGAAAAGCUGCUGACUACAGGGCCCGGGAGCUCCUGUUUCAGGGAGGACAGGUUGCAAAUGAGCCAGGAAAACUUGUACUCUAGGACUUGAUCCUCUUGGGAUGUAUCCUGAAAUGGAUGGGAUGCUGGGCUGGGAUGCGAGACUGGGAACCAGAAGGCUGACCCACCUUCUGGGUUUUCCACAUGUACAUCUUGCUCUUUCUGUGCCUAUCCAUGGAGGCCUUGGGGCAGCUUGGAAAUGUGACAUGAAGGUCUCCUUUUGCUACCUCCCUGAAUGGGAAACAGCUUCCUCAUGUGCAUCGGGAUGCUGUGACAGUGCAGGAGCUGGUUGUGUCCUCCAAGAUCCUGGGAAGGUGCUGGAGACAAAAGAC